rnacentral:lncRNA from 1 species
UUGGCAUUAGGGUUAAAAUCACUAUCCGAAACCUUUGUAGGAACUCUUUUCCAACAGUUCGGAGUUAGUUAGACCAAAAAAAAAAUGAAAAAUGAAAUAAAAAAUAUUUGGGGUGUUCAGGCUUCCUGAAGGUAAUACCCGGGUAUUAGGUUAUGGGGCUUAGGAAAAGUUUAAGGUUUUUGGCAUUAGGGUUAAAAUCACUGCCCAAAACCUUUGUAGGAACUCUUUUCCAACCUUUUGGAGUCAGUUAGACCAAAAAAAAAAGAAAAAUGAAAAAAAAAAUAUUAUGGGUUUUCAGCCUUCCUGGAGGUAAUACCCGGGUAUUAGGUUAUGGGGCUAUGGUAAGGUUUAAGGUUUUUGGCGAUAGGGUUAAACUAACUUUCCAAAACCUUUUUAGGAACAUGUUUCAGACCUUUUGGAGUUGGUUACACCAAAAAAAAAAUGUAAAAUGAAAAAAAAAUAUUUGGGGUGUUCGGGCUUCCUGAAGGUAAUACCCAGGUUAUGGGGCUAUGGUAAGGGUUCAGUUUUUUGGCGUUAGGGUUAAAAUUAUUGUCCAAAACCUUUGUAGGAACUCUUUUCCAACCUUUUGGAGUUAGUUAGACCAAAAAAAAAAGAAAAAUGAAAAAAAAAUAUUUGGGGUUUUCGGGCUUCCUGAAGGUAAUACCUGGGUAUUAGGUUAUGGGGCUUAGGAAAGGUUUAAGGUUUUUGGCGUUAGGGUUAAAAUCACUGUCCAAAAACCUUUGCAGGAACUCUUUUCCAACCUUUUGGAGUUAGGUAGACCAAAAAAAAAAGAAAAAAGAAAAAAAAAUAUUUGGGGUUUUCCGGCUUCCUGAAGGUAAUACCCGGGUAUUAGGUUUUGGUGCUAGGGUAAGGUUUCAGGUUUUUGGCGUUAGGGUUAAAAUGACUGUCCAAAACCUUUUUAGGAACAUGUUUCAGAUCUUUUGCAGUUGGUUAAACCAAAAAAAAAAAGUAAAAUGAAAAAAAAAUAUUUGGGGUGUUCAGGCUUCCUGAAGGUAAUACCCGGGUAUUAGGUUAUGGGGCUAUAGUAAGGUUUAAGGUUUUUGAAGUUAGGGUUAAAAUAACUGUCCAAAACCUUUGUAGGAACUCUUUUCCAACCUUUUGGAGUUAGGUAGACCAAAAAAAAAAGAAAAAGAAAAAAAAAAUAUUUGGGGUGUUCGGGCUUCCUGAAGGUAAUAGGAAAUUGGAAAGGUUUAAGGUUUUUGGCGUUAGGGUUAAAAUCACUGUCCAAAAACCUUUGUAGGAACCCUUUUCCAAGAAAAAUGAAAAAAAAAUAUUUGGGGUGUUCGGGCUUCCUGAAGGUAAUAGGAAUAGGAAAGGUUUAAGGUUUUUGGCGUUAGGGUUAAAAUUACUGUCCAAAAACCUUUGUAGGAACUCUUUUCCAACCUUUUGGAGUUAGGUAGACCAAAAAAAAAAGAAAAACGAAAAAAAAAUAUUUGGGGUGUUCGGGCUUCCUGAAGGUAAUACCCGGUUAUUAGGUUUUGGGGCUAGGGUAAGGUUUGAGGUUUUUGGCAUUAGGGUUAAAAUCACUGUCCAAAACCUUUUAGGAACAUGUUUCAGACCUUUUGGAGUUUGUACACCAAAAAAAAAAAUGUAAAAUGAAAAAAAAAAUAUUGGGGGUGUUCGGGCUUCCUGAAGGUAAUACCCGGGUAUCAGGUUAUGGGACUAUGGUAAGGUUUAAGGUUUUUGGCGUUAGGGUUAAAAUCACUGUCCAAAACCUUUGUAGGAACUCUUUUCCAACCUUUUGGAGGCAGUUAGACCAAUAAAAAAUAAAAAAAAUAAAAAAAAAUUAUUUGGGGUGUUCGGGCUUCCUGAAGGUAAUACCCGGGUAUUAGAUUAUGGGGCUAUGGUAAGGUUUAAGGUUUUUGGUGAUAGGGUUAAAAUCACUGUCCAAAACCUUUGUAGGAACUCUUUUCCAACCUUUUUGAGUCAGUUAGACCAAAAAAAAAUUAAAAAUGAAAAAAAAAUAUUUGGGGUGUUUGGGCUUCCUGAAGGUAAUACCCUAAUAUUACGUUAUGGGGCUAUGGUAAGGUUUAAGGUUUUUGGCGAUAGGGUUAAACUAACUGUCCAAAACCUUUUUAGGAACAUGUUUCAGACCUUUUGGAGUUGGUUAUACCAAAAAAAAAAUGAAAAAUGAAAAAAAAAUAUUUGGGGUUUUCGGGCUUCCUGAAGGUAAUACCCGGGUAUUAGGUUUUUGGGCUAGGGUAAGGUUUGAGGUUUUUGGCGUUAGGGUUAAAAUCACUGUCCAACACCUUUUAAGGAACAUGUUUCAGACCUUUUGCAGUUGGUUAAACCAAAAAAAAAAAGUAAAAUGAAAAAAAAAUAUUUGGGGUGUUCGGGCUUCCUGAAGGUAAUACCCGGGUAUAAGGUUAUGGGGCUAUGGUAAGGUUUAAGGUUUUUGACGUUAGGGUGAAAAUAACUGUCCAAAACCUUUGUAGGAACUCUUUUCCAACCUUAUGGAGUUCGUUAGACCAAAAAAAAAAGAAAAAUGAAAAAAAAAUAUUUGGGGUGUUCGGGCUUCCUGAAGGUAAUAGGAAAUAGGAAAGGUUUAAGGUUUUUGGCGUUAGGGGUAAAAUCACUGUCCAAAAACCUUUGUAGGAACUCUUUUCCAAGAAAAAUGAAAAAAAAAUAUUUGGGGUGUUCGGGCUUCCUGAAGGUAAUAGGAAUAGGAAAGGUUUUAGGUUUUUGGCGUUAGGGUUAAAAUCACUGUCCAAAAACCUUUGUAGGAACUCUUUUCCAACCUUUUGGAGUUAGGUAGACCAAAAAAAAAAGAAAAACGAAAAAAAAAUAUUUGGGGUGUUCGGGCUUCCUGAAGGUAAUACCCAGGUAUUAGGGUUUUGGGGCUAGGGUAAGGUUUGAGGUUUUUGGCAUUAGGGUUAAAAUCACUGUCCAAAACCUUUUUAGGGACAUGUUUCAGACCUUUUGGAGUUUGUACACCAAAAGAAAAAUGUAAAAUGAAAAAAAAAUAUUUGGGGUGUUCUGGCUUCCUGAAGGUAGUACCCGGGUAUCAGGUUAUGGGGCUAUGGUAAGGUUUAAGGUUUUUGGCGUUACGGUUAAAAUUACUGUCCAAAACCUUUGUAGGAACUCUUUUCCAACCUUUUGGAGUCAGUAUGACCAAAAAAAAAAAUAAAAAAAAAUAAAAAAAAAUAUUUGGGGUGUUCGGGCUUCCUGAAGGUAAUACCCGGGUAUUAGGUUAUGGGGCUAUGGUAAGGGUUCAGUUUUUUGGCAUUAGGGUUAAAAUUAUUGUCCAAAACCUUUGGAGGAACUCUUUUCCAACCUUUUGGAGUUAGUUAGACCAAAAAAAAAAGAAAAAUGAAAAAAAAAUAUUUGGGGUUUUCGGGCUUCCUGAAGGCAAUACCCGGGAAUCAGUUUCUGGGGCUUUGGAAAGGUUUAAGGUUUUUGGCGUUAGGGUUAAAAUCACUGUCCAAAACCUCUGUAGGAACUCUUUUCCAAGCUUUUGGAGUUAGUUAGACCAAAAAAAAAUGAAAAAUGAAAAAAAAAAUAUUUGGGGUGUUCGGGCUUCCUGAAGGUAAUACCCAGGUAUUAGGUUAUGGGGCUAGGGUAAGGUUUUAGGUUUUUGGCGUUAGGGUUAAAAUUAUUGUCCAAAACCUUUGUAGGAACUCUUUUCCAAGCUUUUGGAGUUAGUUAGACCAAAACAACAUGAAAAAUAAAAAAAUAUAUAUUUGGGGUGUUCGGGCAUCCUGAAGGUAAUACCCGGGUAUUAGGUUUUGGGGCUAAGGUAAGGUUUAAGGUUUUUGGCGUGAGGGUUAAAAUCACUGUCCAAAGCCUUUGGAGGAACUCUUUUCCAACCUUUUGGAGUCAGUUACACCAAAAAAAAAUGUAAAAUGAAAAAAAAAUAUUUGGGUUGUUCGGGGUUCCUGAAGGUAAUACCCCGGUAUUAGGUUAUGGGGCUAUGGUAAGGUUUAAGGUUUUUGGCAUUAGGGUUAAAAUCACUGUCCAAAACCUUUUUUGGAACAUGUUUCAGACCUUUUGCAGUUGGUUAAACCAAAAAAAAUGUAAAAUGAAAUAAAAAAUAUUUGGAUUGCAAAAAUAUAUCAAGGUCCAAAGAUGGUGUGCGCACUUGUCCGUGGUCAUUUACCAUUAUAAUGAAUGGGAGGCGCAGUUUCUACCAAAACACUUGCUGCAGACAAACUUCAUGACCUAUAUGAAAAAAGUCUGGACCAUGAGUGAGGGCACAGCCAGUAUAUAUCCAAAUGGCAAGUUUCUCCUCCUUUCGGUUUUGCAGAGAGAGUGGUGUGUUUGAGCCAUUGAGCGAUGGGCAGGAAAAACUUGACUUUUUCUCCUGCCUUGGGGGGGGCACUCUUUUGGUGAGAAAAAAAUUACUUCACAAAUGUGUUGAUGGCUGAACAUUGCAUCAUCCUAGAAAACUUGGAUGAGUGGCCAAAACUUCUUUGUCUGCUGUAAAAUCAAAUUGGAUUAAUAUUUUUUCCAGAUUUUUUUUUUUGUACAUCUCUUAUUUUACUUCUGCCCAGGGGCGGAUCUACUGGGGUGGCAUGGGGUGGCAGGUGCCACCCUAAAAUUAACCCUUGCCACCCCUGCUGCCACCCCAACCGGCAGCAAUGAACCGGUAGAAAAAUGUAACAGGUACGAGCGCGAAGUUCCGAUGUCCGACGACAGUGAAUGCAGCACGAGAGAGCGCGAGAGCGACACGAGACUUCUUUGGUGGGAGAGGCGCGAACUUACAGUCUAUGGGCUCGAAGCGAGAGAGAGACAGAGACAGAAAAAGGCACGAGGAAAGAGGUAAAAGCCAUUUUCAGGCAUGAAAAUCUCUCACCUUUCGGCGAAAUUCGCCGUUUUGAAGUCAAAAAAGGUGACUUACAUGAAUCGUGUAGAUCCGAGGAGAUUUUUUUUUUUUUUUUGGGGGGGGGGGGGGGGUCGGGGUCGGGGUCGGGAGAUUUAUUUAUUUAUUUUUUAAUUAUCAUGUGAUUGACUUAAUACGUAAACUGAACACUUCAGAAAUCGGCCCUUUAAAUGACACUUGGACGGUCAGCAAAUCCUCCUGGCUGCCUCGCUGACGAGAACCAAUCAUGCGCACACUCUUCACGUGUACUUGGAGUACUUGGAGAGCCUGUGGUAGCAUUGCAAAGCUGCGAGAACGAGAACCAGGACUUAUCCACGCCGGUGUUGUGCCGUAGAAUGCCCCCCUGACGAGAGCGCGGUUGAAAGUACGUAACAAGGCGAAAUAAUCGAAGUUUUCCUUACCGUUGGACGGAUUCAAAAGCGUGUGCCUUUAAUGAUUUCAUUCAGGUUAUACAGAUUAGCCGAAAACAAUAGCCCUCUGAUUCAGAAUAUUUGCUGUCCCGAAAGUUUAUUGUUCUUUACCUUGACUCACCUAUUUUUUCCGAGUUUUUUUUCCCGCCAAAUACGCCCAACUGAAUAAAACAUAAACUUAUAAAAACUUGAAACCUCUCUGUGAAACGUGCUUGUAAAUUGUGGUAAACAUCCAUGGGCUUUGUGUUCUGUUUGUGCCUGUGUGCGUGUUGCGGUGAACAGCUGUAUGAUCAGCUGAUGCACGUACCCGCGACUGCGCCCUGUGAAACCCCAUUCAAAAACUAAAGUAUUUUUAUUAUUAGCACUUCAUAGACCACAUCCCCGCCCAUCUACACCUAGGUGACCACAAUAUAUAUUUUUUAGAUAAUUCGGCACUAGUUCGGCCUGUCAAAUCAUCUGAUCAAAGCCAGUUUAUUUACUUUUAUCCACAGCGGAGAGCGCGCCCGGCGCUUAUUUUCUUUUUUGAUGAGCGCCCGGCUCAUCAGCUGGCCGAGUACGCGUCACGAUGAUGCGACUACUCGAGGACCUCGAGUUACGUGACGUUUGCUUUGUUUAGUGCAGUUCAGGCAACGUCUUAGUUAUUUGUACACGUUUGCAUCAUAGCACUCUUCUAAAGCCGCUACAAAAUAAACCCAACAGUUUAAAAACAGUAAAAAAUAGUAGACCUUCUGAGUACCUUAUAUGUCAAAUUCAAGAAAUCAUUUGGUAAGUGAAAGUACAUAUGGGUUAAGAAGUUAGAGGGGGCACUUUUAGAUAUUAAUGUUCAGUUUAUCUAGCAAGUUUGCAGCUCAUAUUAAUUUUAAUAUACCCAUUCCACAGAAAACAAGUCACAGAGAGCAGGGCAAACAUGUUCAAGAGAUUAAAACAGAAUACCCUGGAUGCAUUUCUGGCAAAGAAAAAGAAAGAAAUUGACAAAGAGGAAGAUAGUAAACAUGAAACCAAGGAGGAUGGAAGAGAGAAUAGGGAAAGUUAGGUGUAGCAGAGAGAGGAGAGUCAUUCAGAGAUGGAAGGGGAGCAGAGGCACACGG